AACGUAGGUGGCAAGCGUUAUCCGGAAUUACUGGGCGUAAAGGGUGUGCAGGCGGGUUGGUAAGUGGGGUAUGAAAUCUCCCAGCUUAACUGGGAUAGGUUAUGCCAGACUGCCAAUCUAGAGGACGAGAGAGGGGGGUGGAAUUCCGCGUGUAGCAGUGAAAUGCGUAGAUAUGCGGAGGAACACCGAUGGCGAAGGCAAUCCCCUGGACCUGUACUGACGCUCAUGCACGAAAGCGUGGGGAGCAAACAGG
rnacentral:rRNA from 1 species